AGAGUUUGAUUAUGGCUCAGGAUGAACGCUGGCGGCGUGCCUAACACAUGCAAGUCGAGCGGAGAGGUGCGGAGAUCAAUCGAUGAUCUGCUUCUUCUUAGCGGCGGAUGGGUGAGUAACACGUGGGUAACCUGCCCUGCACUGGGGAAUAACAGUUGGAAACGACUGUUAAUACCGCAUAUGCGCACGGGGUCGCAUGACCCCCGGGCGGAAAAGAUUUAUCGGUGCAGGAUGGGCCCGCGUCGGAUUAACUGGUUGGUGAGGUAAUGGCCCACCAAGGUGAUGAUCCGUAGCCGACCUGAGAGGGUGACCGGCCACAUUGGGACUGAGACACGGCCCAAACUCCUACGGGAGGCAGCAGUGGGGGAUAUUGCACAAUGGGCGCAAGCCUGAUGCAGCGACGCCGCGUGAAGGAAGACGUAUUUCGGUAUGUAAACUUCUAUCAGCGGGGAAGAAGAUGACGGUACCCGACUAAGAAGCCCCGGCUAAUUACGUGCCAGCCGCGGC
rnacentral:rRNA from 1 species